AAACACUAACAGCAGCCUCUUCUCUCAACUACCCACUUCCCAAAAAACACACAAUACACACAGUGAUUACACUUUGGAACACCAAAAAGAUUCUGUUUUUAACAACCCCAAGGAUCAAGAACACACUGAAAACUGAUAAAGUUUUGAUCUUUACUCUUUUUAGUCACUAAAGAUUCGUAUAUUUGUUGGGUUUUUGUUAAAAAUGGAGAAAAUUGUGUUUGUUGUUAACUGUGAACUUAAAGCUUGUGGUAUAGUGUAGUUUUCUA
rnacentral:misc_RNA from 1 species